CAUGGCGUGGUGUGUCAAACUAAUGUCAUAUUCUUUGAUUACCUCCAGCGGCAUCGUCGUUGGUGUGAGCCUCAGCCUCCACUGCACAGAAGAGGAAGUAGCGACUCGGACGAGACGCCAGAGAGACGCGACGAGCAGGAGGACACCCGCGAGAGGGCCCGGCGGCUCUGUACGACCGACUCCGGCGCCGCCGAGUCGGCCCGCGAGUCCCGCGUCCCGGAGCCGCCGUGCCGCAUGGCGAAAGGGCGGCCCCUGGAGCGCCUGUUGCCGGCCGAGUUGCUCCUCCGAGCCAGGUUCGGGUACGGCGGCACGGUGCUGUAACACGGGGCACACCGCGGUGUGGAGGAGUUGUAGCAGUUCCUUGUGCCGUUGCAAACGUAGUGGACCAAACCUGGUCAGGAUUCCUACCAGUAUCGUCUCGGUUUCGAUCACUCUCUCUAGGAUAGUCUGUUCAGCCCGGUAAAGCUUUUUAAGUGGUUGUUUGCAGACCCUUUUGACUAUCGGGAACCCGAACGCUCGAUGCUGCCACUCUUUACCCGCUGCGUGUCCUCCUAGAACUUGGGGCGAAAGGUAGAGCUUUUCGAGUUCUCGUACAACGGCCGAAAGAGGUGUACGACGUGGCUCAACUAUUCGUCGACCCUUUCAUUUGAUCGGCCAAGACUACCUAGUGUACUUUAUCUGUAUACCCUCCUAAAGGUCUUGGAGUGGCCUCUGCACUAGAGAGCGUGCAGCAAGCCAUCGUCGAAGUACCUUCCCGCUUCCUAGAAGGUCGAAGUCCGUCUCGUUCGCCUCGCUUAAUAGUUCCGGAAGGUCAUAUACAUGUAGGGUCCGAUGGAGAAAAAAGGUUGGCUUUUGUUGUUCUCCUACUUCGUCUAGUUGGCUCUCUAACUUCCCGAGGACUCUCCGUAGUAGCUCUUCGCCCUCGCGCGCUACCUCUUGCUACCCGAAUCAUCGCCGUUGCUGAACGAACCGAACUACGACGUCAGCUUGUUCCUCUCGCCCCGCAGCUCCUACUCCUACUCGUGGCUCCUACACUAGCUCCUCACGUUCGAGAAGAUGAAGCGCCCCUACCUCUGGUGCAGGCACGACGAGUGGACCUGCGACCAGCAGGACCCGUACGUGGGGCUCACCGUCCUAGCCCGGUCCCUUCUUCAGGAGUCGCAGAAGCCGUUCCUGUUCGGGUUGAAGCUGCCGGAGUCGGCUGAGUUUUGCCACUGCUACUAUGACAUACUUCACGAGUCCAACAUGGGUGGCCGCCAGUGCGACUUGGCCUUCUGUAGGUCUGUCUACGUCUAACCUCCGUAGUGGAUGGGACGGCCGCACGACGACCUCGACGGCUAUUAGUACCAAGUGGUGUUGGGCCUACAUACCCCCUUUCUGCACGACCUCAAGUUCGGCCUCUCCAAACGCCUCCCCUAGAGGUUCCGUUGGUUCCUGGUCGGCCAGAAGAAGGGUAAGCCGACCCCGGGCUCCUAAACGUAGCCGGUCUUGAAGCGCUACGACCUUCGGUUCUACCGCGACUCGUACUAGGAAGUCGCAAAGCUCAAGGUCGAGAGUGGAAGGAUGUGCGUACGCGGCAUGUGCCAGUAGUGUGACGUAGGAGUCGUACCUCGCGUCUAAUAUGAGUUCUCAGAGACUAGCAGUAGAACAGAACGCCGAAACAGCUGGACAGCAGCCCAUUGAACUCGUCGCAUUCUCCUUCGUCCACGUGGUAAGCGCUUGAGCGCCAUCCAAACGGGGAGGCGGUCGGCUACUACGCGUUCCUCCCGCUCCAAUAUACAACCAGAAGGUUGCGCUCCUCCUUGCGGAGGUGAUCGCCGCAGCCGACGAGGAGGAGGUACUGCAGCAACUUCACACGUACGCGGACGAGUUACCACGUCGGCCGUACCUGUUCGAGUCCGCGCCCACAGCCUAGCAACAGUUUACGGAGGAGGUAACAGCUAGGAACAGCGAGUGGAGGUCGCUCGAACGGCCGUUCGAUUGGAGAUAGGAGACGCGUGCUGUCCUGACGGUCAACCGGCGUUCUGAUACUCAUAACCCGAAGUCUAGUCCACGAGAUUGAGAUGUGAACAAUCACGGAAGAGACUACGACUAACCCGACCGACAUCAUUACUAUUUUUUAGUUAUCCUCGUAAAAGUCAUAAAAAACCGAGAUUAGAAUGAAGAAUCUCACGGUCUUUCGUCCGGUGUUAUAGUUCCAGUUCGUGUCUCCAACCUAUGUUUAGAAACCGUUUAUGUUGAUGACUCUAGUAAACCUACCUUAGGAACGAACGUGUUAAACCCUAAUUUGUUGUAGCACACAGGAUACCACACUAUUAGAUCCUCGUUGAAUAAACAGACGAUUAGUAUAGAAAGUACUAUACUCGUUUACGCAGCUCUAAUUAAAAGUGAAGCAUACUCUUUCUCAACGUCUUUUCUUCAACCUCUAUACUAAGUAAAGUAGGUUCUAGUUAACCGUUUGCCCAAGUGUUUUCGGGAAGGACAUUCCGGUAAACUCCUUAAGUUAUUCUUAUAUUUAAAUCGUGUCGAA
rnacentral:rRNA from 1 species